rnacentral:rRNA from 1 species
UACGGAGGGGGCGAGCGUUAUUCGGAAUCAUUGGGCGUAAAGGGCGCGUAGGCGGCCCCGUAAGUCUUGGGUGAAAGCCCUCGGCUCAACCGAGGAAUUGCCUUGGAUACUGCGGGGCUCGAGGCUGGAAGAGGGUAGCGGAAUUCCCGGUGUAGCGGUGAAAUGCGUAGAUAUCGUAAGGAAGACCAGUGGCGAAGGCGGGUCUCUGGACAGUUCCUGACGCUGAGGCACGAAGGUCAGGGGAGCAAACGGGG